rnacentral:lncRNA from 1 species
AGAAGAUGCUGCCAAUUGCGCGGAGGAAAAGUAUUGCAAACCUGCUUCUCUUCUGUGCUGGGGUCUGUACCAAUGUUUAUUGAACCAAACAAGGUCCCUACCUUACAGAAGAUGCUUCUUGAAGGAUGGCGUGUUAAUCUUCUAAGUAUGUUCUGGUUGGGAGGAUAGAGCACUGUCACAGCUACAGUGAGCACUGUCACAGCUACAGCUAUACCUCUGCAAAGCCAGGAAAAACACGUUCCCUAGGAGAGUCUCUAGCCUUAAUCUGUAGCUGCAAAUAGAAAUGACAACUCAUUUUCUCAAUAAUGAAAUGUUUUUGGGUAGGGCUAAAAGCAGAAUGAACCACCAAAAAGCCCCUUUUGACAUGUUGCCUGUGUAAAGACAAA